rnacentral:rRNA from 1 species
GACGAACGCUGGCGGCGUGCUUAACACAUGCAAGUCGAACGGUGAAGCGCCUUCCUUUUUGGUGGGUGUGGAUGAGUGGCGAACGGGUGAGUAACACGUGAGUAACCUGCCCCCUUCUUCUGGAUAACCGCAUGAAAGUGUGGCUAAUACGGGAUAUUCUGGGUCUGUCGCAUGAUGGGUCUGGGAAAGAUAUUGUUUCGGUGGGGGAUGGGCUCGCGGCCUAUCAGCUUGUUGGUGGGGUGAUGGCCUACCAAGGCGGUGACGGGUAGCCGGCCUGAGAGGGUGGACGGUCACACUGGGACUGAGACACGGCCCAGACUCCUACGGGAGGCAGCAGUGGGGAAUAUUGCACAAUGGGCGCAAGACUGAUGCAGCGACGCCGCGUGAGGGAUGGAGGCCUUCGGGUUGGGAACCUCUUUCGCCAGUGAAGCAGGCCUGCCUCGUUUGUGGGUGGGUUGACGGUAGCUGGAUAAGAAGCGCCGGCUAACUACGU